rnacentral:rRNA from 1 species
UACGUAGGGACCAAGCGUUGUUCGGAUUUACUGGGCGUAAAGGGCGCGUAGGCGGCUUGACAAGUCACUUGUGAAAUCUCCGGGCUUAACUCGGAACGGCCAAGUGAAACUGUUGAGCUAGAGUGUAGAAGGGGCAAUCGGAAUUCUUGGUGUAGCGGUGAAAUGCGUAGAUAUCAAGAGGAACACCUGAGGUGAAGACGGGUUGCUGGCCUAACACUGACGCUGAGGCGCGAAAGCCAGGGGAGCAAACGGG